rnacentral:lncRNA from 1 species
CAUUUAUUAAGCACAUGCGGAAGCAGUUAAAAUCCCCAGACAAUAAAACGAUGGGAUAGAAAAGCAGGGCCAUAUUUUUCAUAUUGAAACUUAUAACCAAACUUUUAUACAAAGCACAAACCAAAGCACUUCACAACUUUUACUCUAAACUCUAUUUACAUCAAAAUAGAGAUCUCAAAAGAAGAUAGGAUCUCAAUCCAUCCAGGCCGUAUUUAAGGCCCCUCUCAGGAUUGCCUUCUUCCUCCAACAAUCUUUCUCCUUAAGAUUCGCCUCCGAGUCCUCCUUCUCGGAUUCCUCCUUCUCAGCUCUUCAGCGGGGUCCUGAAAUGGUUUUCCCCAAACUGGGAUGAGACUACGUCUCAGCAAGUUCUACCCCACUAAGCCCGAUUAGUAAACUAUUAUACUACAGGCUGCCUAAACACGCACAGGGCAGAGGACUCACCUUGGCCUCAGAUCCCACCUGCAAGUCAAUACAAUUCAUAAUAGGCACCCAAGCAAUCAUGUCACCGAUCGAAGCAUCGAUCAAAUCGACCUAGUCGAUUAUAUUCCAACAAGACCACUCACGGUCAUUCCCAUUCAGUCAAUCAAUUCACAUCAAAUCAAAGCAUCGACCUAGUCGAUUACAUGUCAAACAAAUCACUCUCCACAGAGGAGUAUCUAAAAGCUAGGCCACGUGCAUUCUCCAGGACGACCUUCCAAGUCUCCGAGCCACGUG